rnacentral:rRNA from 1 species
AGUGAACGCUGGCGGUAGGCCUAACACAUGCAAGUCGAACGGCAGCACAGUAAAAGCUUGCUCUUACGGGUGGCGAGUGGCGGACGGGUGGGGAAUACAUCGGAAUCUACUUUUUCGUGGGGGAUAACGUAGGGAAACUUACGCUAAUACCGCAUACGACCUACGGGUGAAAGCAGAGGAUCUUCGGACCUUGCGCGAUUGAAUGAGCCGAUGUCGGAUUAGCUAGUUGGCGGGGUAAAGGCCCACCAAGGCGACGAUCCGUAGCUGGUCUGAGAGGAUGAUCAGCCACACUGGAACUGAGACACGGUCCAGACUCCUACGGGAGGCAGCAGUGGGGAAUAUUGGACAAUGGGCGCAAGCCUGAUCCAGCCCUCCCGCGCGGGUGAAGAAGGCCUUCGGGUUGUAACGCCCUUUUGUUGGGAUAGAAAAGCAGCCGGUUAAUACCCCGCUGUGCUGACGGUACCCAACGCAUAAGCAACGGCUAGCUUCGUG